GGAGGCACGCGACGCGGGCGCGAUGGCGGGGACUCUAGGCCAGGGACUUGAUGCUGCUUGGGCCUGGCCCAGUGGCGGGUCCUGGGGACGUGGCAGAGGCCGGCAGAUGGAGAUUCAGAAACAUAAGGACAACAAGAAACUUUCCCAAGAUUUUCAGAAGGUGAUGGAUGGGAUAUUCUGAGAGUUGGAAGGCGGGCUUUGAGCCACAGAGAGCCACUGCAACAUUUGAAGAUUCUGGUGAUGAUGCUGACUGCCUGGCCACCUAAGAGGAAGAAAGGACUUUUCGGUUGGCGGGACACAGAUACUGGCCCUUCAAGGCAGAAUUCAGGCGAUGGGUGAGUCCCUGUGACAGGUGGACAUGCCCAGCAGGCUGCAUUUACCCUGCUGAUCUGUGGGCUAUUUUCACCCUUCUCGAUCUUUGCUAUUGCAAAUGAAUAUGCUAUGAGCAUAUUGUAUAAGUCACCUACAAGUCUUCCUGUGGACAUGUGCUUUUGUCACUCUUGGAAAAAUAAUACCUAGUAGUGGAAUGGCUGGAUCAUAUAAGCCAGAAAAUGCAUGACACAGGAGAAGAUGCACCCUUAUCUGUUCAGUGAGAGAUGUGCAAAUCAACAUCAACACAGAACUGCUGAAGAAAAAAAAUUGUCUCUGGAAAGCAACUUAUCCACUGGAGAUGUGAGGAGUCAUCCACACAUCACAAUUCUAUAGACAUCAAAAGCAAAAAGCAUUUCCCAUCUGCUUUAAGACUGAGGCAGACUUUCCAUCUGGACACAGCCAACCAUCCAUGUGUCAUUACAAUGAAUUCAGCACUUCCCUGGAAGCUGAAAGGGUCAAAUUCAACUUCAGCUCUGCCACUUGCUGCUUAACUUGCUGUUUAACCUUGGGCAAGCUGCCAUCCCACAUGAGGCCGAAGGUGUUGGUUUUUAAAAUACAGAAGUUGGAUUCCAUGAAGGAUUAUCGAUAUACUGCUGGUGGGUCAAAUUCCAUCUGCUACUUGCUUUUGUAAAUAAAGUUUUAUUGAAACACAAACAUACCCAUUAAUUUACUCUUGUCUAUGACUACAAGGGCAAAGUUGAAUAGUUGUUACAGAGACCAUCAGGCUCACAAAGCCUAGAUUAUUCACUCUCUAUCUGCCCAUUUACAGAGUAAGUUUGCCAGCCCUGGACUGGAUGAUUUUUUGAGUUCCUUCUAAUUCUAGAAUUCUUUAUAUAUUUUAUGAAACCCCUAAUGUUUAUAUAUUAAUUAUUUCAAUACCCGUGUCUUUACUGAGUUCCUCCUAUGAAGCAUACAUCAAGAUAUAUGUGUGAUACAUUAACUAAACUUUGUAACAGUAUCUUAAAUAGGAUUUCAAUGACUAACAGCUCUUGGAAAUAUCCAAGGUAACAUUUUGGGGCAAAUGUCUUAUGAUUUGAUUAUCAUUGGUAAAUAGAGCAUAUCUUUUUUCCUACUAACAAUGUUUAAGAAGUUAAAAAAAAAAAAUCAAGAAAACCCCGUAUGGCACUAGAGACUUAUUGCAUUAAGACAUCAUCUUCACAGAUUGUUUAGUUUUGGUAAUAUAAUUUGACAUCUAAACAUAAGCUGAGAGGGAUCUCCCUCAAAACCUUUGAUAAUAUGAUUCAUUGUCAAAUGUUUGUUUUGCCUAUCUGGCACUCAUUAAUUAAUUCUUUUUAAUAUAGCUUGGAUUUACUGAUUUUGAAAAAGAGAAUUAUUCUUAUUGAUGUUGCUAAAAUAUCCAGGUGGCUUGAAUUUCACCAACUAGAUAGUUUAAUCUAGCACAUUUGUGUAGCCCUAAUCAAAUCUUUACUAACAGAUGUGAGAAGCCCAGUACUGGAGCUAAUGUUUGUGUCUCAAUGAUAAUUAAAUUAGCUUAAUAAGGAAAAUAAAUGAACAAUAAUCACCAAAAUUUUUCUCUAAACCUGUGUUAUAGUCUUAAAAACAUUUUCCCCCUAUGGAGGCUUUUGGUAAUAAAACACAAAUUGAGGGAUUUUACUUAAAAGAAUUUUUUUUCCAAGAACUGGUCAUGUACUAAAUUGCUUAUAAUCAAAUAAUCAAGUAGCAUUUCUUUUAUCAUAAGAGCAAAACCUAUAAUUAAGCCAAAAUUCAAAUUUGUUUUCAAAGGUUGGAUAAUCUUUUGUUUUGGCCAAUAGUAUGUGGAUUUUUUCUUUUAAGGAUUAUCUCUUCGUAGUAUUUUCUAAUGGAUAGGAAAUGCCUUUCUCUGGUUGAAUGAUUAUUUCCACAUAGAAUUAGUUCCUGCUUACGACAGUGCUCCACUAAUGUAAUGGCUCAGUGAAUUGGCUUUAUAAUUCAUUAAUCAUAGCUCACAUUGAGCUUCUGGCUCCGGAUGACAGUGCCCACCACAGGCCAAAUAACUUCUCAUUUAAAGGCAAUUUGUACGAAUAGGGAAGGUGAGAAUUCUCACAGUCCCUGAGGGAUUGAAGAGUUGUUCAAAAGCCAAGAUAAGGCAUUUUAUGGAAGGCAGGUUGGUGGAAGAAAGGUGGCCAUCGGAGGAUGAGGCAGAUGGCUUUCGAGGGAGGCCCUGGUGCUGCCGCCAUGGGGAAGCCCCUGUUGCAGCUGCUGAUCAGAGCACAUUGGACGGUGUUUCCGUGUGAACGUGAAGACAAUGCUGCCUCUGUUCCUGUGACGCUGCGCUCUGACCUUGCUGGAGGCGAAGUGGUGUCAGCUGUGCUUACAGGACAGUCAGUGGUGGUGGAAAAGAGGCCCAUGUGACCUGUGGAGGACUGGGCCCCUCUCACUCAACCCGAGUGCCUGCAGCCAUGGGAAGAUCUCAAGUGACCCGUUAGCCGGAAGAGGAAAUCAAGCCUGCUAUCAAGACUGAUGCUGGGAGAAUUUCUCCAGGGCACUUAGGUGAGGGUCUAUGGUUAACUUUCCAUGACUAUGGACCCCAACUCCACAAAGCACAAGGACUCAGGCAAGUUUGCAAUUUUAGCAUGAAACACACUUUUGGGGCAUGAUCACGUGACUCAUAUUGAGUCACUAGAAGUUGUGUUACCGUGUCUGGUAUGCAAAUUUAAACAUGAGUGAGUAUUCCUUCAACCUGAGCAAUUUAUAUAACUUAUUAAUUUAAAACAUUUGAACUAUUUGUGUGGGAACAAGAGCUUCUGGCUUACAGAAUUCCCAAUGUAUAGGGCAGAGCAAUGCAUUUAGAAGAUGGCAUGAGGUAUCAAAAGUAUUGCAAACCAAAUCAGUGGGACAAUUGGGAAAAACUGAAUAAGGUCUGUAGAUUAGGUAAUAGUGCUAUAUUGAUUCUAAGUUCCUGAUUUUGAUUUUUGUACUGCAGCUAUGAAAGACAAUGUCCUUAUAUGAGGGAACUACAACAUUAAAAUGUUUAGGGGUGAAAGGAUACAAUGCCUACAAUUUAUUCUCAGAUGGUUCAAGAAAAAAAACAAAUGUACCUAUUGAUCUAUUAGUCUUUUGAGAGAGGGAGAGUAUGCUAAAGCUACUGUGGUAAAAUAUGGACAUUUUGGAAAUUUGGAUGAAGGGUAUAUGGAAGCGCUUUGUCUUAUUUUUGUAGCUUUUUCAUAUGCAUGAAAUUAUUUCAAAAUUAAAAUGUAAUGAUAAAAAAAAAGAAACUUUAAAAUAAGCAAGGCUCUAGGCUGGCCUUCUGAUUUUGGAAGGCAUAGUGCCAGAGGUAUCAGUAAAAUGCCAGGGUGUUUUGAGAUUGCCAUGGCAGAGAAUGUUUCCUCAACAUAUUUGGAGUUUGGUUUCUGGAGGCCAACAUGAUCAUUGAAUCUUGAUGGCUAAAAUAUUGUUCAUUUGCCAGCAAUUUAUUUGACUGGCUACUGGAAAAUGUUUCACUAAACAAGGAAAAUCAACAACAACAAAAAAAGGCACACUACCUUUGCAUUAAAUACUCCAAGUGUAAUAAUAUGUGACAACAUGUAUAUUGUUUUCCAUAUAGACAAGCGUUUUUGUAUGCUGAAUUUUCAGUUAUCAAUUCCGAAUAUUAAA